rnacentral:misc_RNA from 1 species
ACAAAGUCUAGUAUAAAAAAUUAUCACUUUACAUUUCCAACUUGCUUUUGCAUGAAGAAUACUGUUUGGCCUGUACCACGAUUUUCGGAAUACCCUGCAUAAAUACUAAAAAUACAAAACAAAUUUUUCAUAGAGACAUCGUUGUCUGAAAAUGUUGCAUAUUUUAAUUUUUAAAGCCAAUUUUCAGCUCAACCAGUGGUGCCGUCUUAACUAAACAUAUCUAAUUUUGUUGUUUCAUCAUCUACAACUUUCACACGAAACAUUAUUCUCCAUAUCCGCUCAGUUCCAAGAUAUAAACCGGUCUGAAACCUCUUUUCCACUUGCGACUAAUGGCCUGACUCGCCAAGUAAUGCGACUG